UUUGUCGUGUUUCUACAGGCAGUCAUCCAGUUUGUCUGGCACCAUUUGUGGAGCAGAACGACCUUUCCCACUGUGUAAUCUUGAUGCCCCGGACUGCACAGCCCCCAGUUAUCUAGAGCGCGGUGGGUCUCAUCCAUGCUGAGGCGGGCAAGAGAAACCAGUUCCUUCAAAAACCUCCUCCCCCAAGAAGCAAGAACACUGGGUACGCACUCCACUCUUCCCUUCUCCAAGGGAGAAGCUGUCAAACCAUAUCAACCGCUGUCUCUGUCUGAACCAUGGGUCCUCUGGGGCAGCAGCGAGCCUCGCAGCUCUGGUGUUCCAGGCAUCUAGGGUCCGCUGGGUCCUGUCAGUGCGUGACUGACUUCAUCCACAUUGACAUUUCAUUGACCAAAAGAAGCUACAUGGCCACCUCCAAGUUCAAGAAGAUAUGUAUAUCCCUUUCACGGAGAGGACACUGAAUAUUUGAUGUUUCUGCUUCAGACACUUUCACUGACUUCGCAGGUUGAAGUUCUGAAGACACUAACAGGACACGUUUCAGACUCACAUAUGCCCAUAAGACUGCCUGUUACUGUCUCUGGAGAAUACUGACCUCAGCUUCUCUUUGGCCUUCCAAAUUGUCUAUGAGCAGUUUUAUUGGGAGAGUCUAAUUUGGAAUUCUCAGAGGAAAUGUAGUUCCCAGCUCCAUCUUAGCAAUUCAUGGAGACUCCACAGGAGGUGGCAGUGACGGGAGUCUCUGACCUGGCCUACAACAGCCAAAGAGCUCUCCCUGGUAUCUCAGCGCCCCCGUCAUUCCCCCCUCCACCACCUCAGACUGGUAUUCAAGACCUGCAUAACCUGGCCCCACCCAGCUUGUGAGCCUUCGGGACUACUGAUCUUCAGACCUACAACAUUCCAGCAUCCCCACUUCCCCCCACUCUCCCCUUCCUUUCCUUGGCUACUGCCUCCCCAGGCAUUCCAGUGCUGGGCGCUCGGGGGGCACACAUGGCAGUCAGGGUCUCCACUUAGUUCCAAAAG